AUUGAACGCUGGCGGCAGGCCUAACACAUGCAAGUCGAACGAGUGGCGGACGGGUGAGUAAUGUCUGGGAACCUGCCCGAUGGAGGGGGAUAACUACUGGAAACGGUAGCUAAUAGCGCAUACCAUCGGAUGUGCCCAGAUGGGAUUAGCUAGUUGGUGGGGUAACGGCUCACCUAGGCGACGAUCCCUAGCUGGUCUGAGAGGCUGACCGGCCACACUGGAACUGAGACACGGCCCAGACUCCUACGGGAGGCAGCAGUAGGGAAUAUUGGACAAUGGGCGAAAGCCUGAUGGAGCCAUGCCGCGUGAAUGAAGAAGGCCUUCGGAUUGUAAAGUACUUUCAGCGGGGAAGCGUUACUCGCAGAAGAAGCACCGGCUAACUCCGUGCCAGCAGCCGCGGUAAUAC
rnacentral:rRNA from 1 species